AGACGUCUACAUUAGAUACCCGGGUAGUCCUAGCCGUAAACGAUACUCGCUAGGUGUCGGCCACGGUGCGACCGUUGUCGGUGCCGUAGGGAAGCCGUGAAGCGAGCCACCUGGGAAGUACGGCCGCAAGGCUGAAACUUAAAGGAAUUGGCGGGGAGCACCACAACAGGUGGAGCCUGCGGUUUAAUUGGACUCAACGCCGGGAAGCUCACCGGAUAGGACAGCAGAAUGAUUGCCGGGCUGAAGACCCUGCAUGACUAGCUG
rnacentral:rRNA from 1 species